UUAUUGUGCACGUGUAACGGUGUCAUUCACUUGAAUGUUUCCAUGUGACUUGGCUGCUCGGUGUGAGGGCCAAUACACAACUCUUUGCAAUCUUCAUGAACUGUCGCGUCACUUGCACUUAGUUUCUACAAGUGUCUGUUUCUCCCCCAUCCAACUUUGUUCUGUCAGUCUGCAAUAGGGUGGAGUUUGAGUCACGUGACGACAUUGUGAGGUUAGAGCCCGAGUGCAGAAGAGAAGAGCGGAGUUGACAGAAAUUCAUUCAGCAUGUUGCUGUGUGCUUGGUCGCUGCUCGUCAUCACUGUGGCAGGCGCCAGCGGUGACCAGCUCGAGGCAGUCACGGGCGAAGUGUUGGCAUCAGAAGGCAAACAGGUGACACUGUCGUACGUUUACGCCACAGUGCUGACUGGUGCUGAUUAUUUCUUCUGGUACCAACAACUUCCUGGACAAGCGCCACACUUCCUGCUUUCACACUUGGGAACCGGCAGCCCGUUAAGGGCCAAGCCAGGAAUGUCGGCGAGCGUGGGAAGUGACAGGAGACGAGUGCACCUGCACAUCGAGGAUGUGACAAUUGAGCACUCUGCGGUGUACUACUGUGCCGUGAUGCCGCACAGUGACACAAGCGCCACAUUCUCGUUACAAGAACAUUUCUCUUCCUUAUCUCAUCACAUCACACUCCGCUCCAUCACUCUAAAAGCCAGAAAAGGGCACCCAUCGCCAAAACUAUUCAUUCAAUCAAGAAAAAUAAAAACCAGUAGUGUGUAUUUAAACACAUUUAACACGGCCAAUAAUACCACUAAUAACAAAGGAGGUGAAUAG